rnacentral:rRNA from 1 species
CAGUGGGGAAUAUUGGGCAAUGGAGGGAACUCUGACCCAGCGACGCCGCGUGCGGGAUGAAGGCCUUCGGGUUGUAAACCGCUUUCAGCAAGGAAGAAGCGAAAGUGACGGUACUUGCAGAAGAAGCACCGGCUAACUAUGUGCCAGCAGCCGCGGUAAUACAUAGGGUGCAAGCGUUGUCCGGAAUUAUUGGGCGUAAAGAGCUCGUAGGUGGUUCGUCACGUCGGAUGUGAAAAUCUGGGGCUUAACCCCAGACCUGCAUUCGAUACGGGCGAGCUAGAGUGUGGUAGGGGAGACUGGAAUUCCUGGUGUAGCGGUGGAAUGCGCAGAUAUCAGGAGGAACACCAAUGGCGAAGGCAGGUCUCUGGGCCAUUACUGACACUGAGGAGCGAAAGCGUGGGGAGCGAACAGGAUUAGAUACCCUAGUAGUCC